GCUGGGCAUGUUGGCACAUGCCUGUAAUCCCAGCUCCUUGGGAGGCUGACACAGGAGAAUCGCUUGAACCCAGGAGGUGGAGAUUGCAGUGAGCUGAGAUUGCGCCACUGUACUCCAGCCUGGGUGACAGAGUGAGACUCCGUCUCAA
rnacentral:SRP_RNA from 2 species